rnacentral:rRNA from 1 species
UACGUAGGGGGCAAGCGUUUGUCCGGAAUCAUUGGGCGUAAAGCGCGUGUAGGCGGCUCGAUAAGUCUGCUGUGAAAGUCCAGGGCUCAACCCUGGGAUGCCGGUGGAUACUGUCGAGCUCGAGUCCGGAAGAGGCGAGUGGAAUCCUGGUGUAGCGGUGAAAUGCGCAGAUAUCAGGAGGAACACCGAUGGCGAAGGCAGGUCUCCUGGGCCGACUACUGACGCUGGAGAAGCGAAAGCAUGGGGAGCGAACAGG